GGCGGCCACCGCUAUUGGAAUUCGAUUAAGACAUGCGAGUCGAGAGUCUUUGGGACUCGGCGGACGGCUCAGUAACACGCGGAUAAUCUGCCCUUAGGUGGAGAAUAACCUCGGGAAACUGAGAAUAAUGCUCCAUAUGUCUAGAAUGCUGGAAUGCUUUUAGGCUUAAAGCUCCGGCGCCUAAGGAUGAAUCUGCGGCCUAUCAGGUUGUAGUGGGUGUAACGGACCCACUAGCCUACGACGGGUACGGGCUUUGGGAAAAGUUGCCCGGAGAUGGACUCUGAGACACGAGUCCAGGCCCUACGGGGUGCAGCAGUUGCGAAAACUUCACAAUGUCGGAAACGGCGAUGAGGGAAUUCCAAGUGCCAACACUUUGUGUUGGCUGUUUGUUUGCCUAAAAAGCAGAUAAAGUAAGAGCCGGGUAAGACGGGUGCCGGCCGCCGCGGUAAUACCCGCGGCUCGAGUGGUGGUCAUUUUUAUUGAGCUUAAAGCAUUCGUAGCCUGUCCAGUAAAUCCUUGGGUAAAUCGAGCAGCUUAACUGUUCGAAUUCCGAGGGGACUGCUGGACUUGGGACCGGAAGAGGUCAAAAGUACUCUUGGGGUAGGGGUAAAAUCCUGUAAUCCCACGAGGACUACCAGUGGCGAAGGCGUUUGACUAGGACGGAUUCGACGGUAAGGAACGAAACCCCGGGUCGCAAACGGGAUUAGAUACCCCGGUAGUCCGGGGCGUAAACGCUGCNGCUUGGUGUUGGGGGCUCUACNAGAGCGCCCAGUGCCGAAGANAAUUGUUAAGCCUGCCGCUUGGGGAGUACGGUCGCAGACCGAAACUUAA
rnacentral:rRNA from 1 species